AUUGAACGCUGGCGGCAGGCUUAACACAUGCAAGUCGAGCGGAGAUGAGGUGCUUGCACCUUAUCUUAGCGGCGGACGGGUGAGUAAUGCUUAGGAAUCUGCCUAUUAGUGGGGGACAACAUUCCGAAAGGAAUGCUAAUACCGCAUACGUCCUACGGGAGAAAGCAGGGGAUCUUCGGACCUUGCGCUAAUAGCUGAGCCUAAGUCGGAUUAGCUAGUUGGUGGGGUAAAGGCCUACCAAGGCGACGAUCUGUAGCGGGUCUGAGAGGAUGAUCCGCCACGCUGGGACUGAGAGACGGCCCAGACUCCUACGGGAGGCAGCAGUGGGGAAUAGUGGACAAUGGGCGCAAGCCUGAUCCAGCCAUGCCGCGUGUGUGAAGAAGGCCUUAUGGUUGUAAAGCACUUUAAGCGAGGAGGAGGCUACUUUAGUUAAUACCUAGAGAUAGUGGACGUUACUCGCAGAAUAAGCACCGGCUAACUCUGUGCCAGCAGCCGCCGUAACAC
rnacentral:rRNA from 1 species